GUGGAUGGAUAAAUGCUGAGGUCGAGAGGUCCACAUUGUAGGGGGACUGGGAAUGACUUAGCCUAGUGAACGGCAUCUGGACGUUUCCUAAUCUAAGCCUGCCCGAAGCUGCACUGACCUGCGGUGACCUUCCUUGGCUUCUGAGAGCUGAGACAGAAAAUGAAGUGUGGCAGGAAGGAGCUAGGAAUGCUGUUACCCCAACAACCUGCCCCGGUGACCGACACCCAACACUAGAGCUCCGCAAAGUUUGUGCAAGAACAGUGACACCAGCUGGGGACCAAAUGUUGCAAACCAUAGGACAAUGACUCGGAUGAAAAUUACCAUGCGGAUUCACUCUGGAACACAGAUGUCCCUACCUGACAGAAGUCUCUGCCCCCACAACCGACCAAGGAUGAUGCAUGGAACUUCAUGUGGCUCGGCAGGGCCAAAGGCUGACUCUCCUGAGCUUGCUGACCAUCCAACCACAAGGUCAAGGCAUUACUUUCCCUUUGAAUCACUAGCUAUGACCAUGGCAAUCAGACUUCAGAGAUGCUGAAAUUCGUAUUUCAUCUAAAACUAAAAUGAAAUCUGUAUCUCUUUCUGCUUUAUUCUGUUGUGAAUUUUGCCUUUAUUA